rnacentral:lncRNA from 1 species
UAUCCCCUUAAAAGAGCAAAAAUAGAAUUAGACUUUCACCAUUGUUAUCACCAUACACCAUUCAUUUGCCACACAUGCACAUCUUGAUUUGACUUAUUGACUUGUUUCUCUGGAUCCAUGGUUUGACUAUGCAAUAAAUGUCUUGUAAGUAUGUAUGCUUUAUCUCCCACCUAUGAGCUCCAGAUAUGAAAACCUUAUUAGAGUAGGGUGAGAGAGAAGGCAAUAUCACUAUGCCUCAUACCAGAAAUACCACAUACUUUGAGAGAAGGCAUAUACCAUUACUACC